rnacentral:rRNA from 1 species
GUCUUUUUGAUUAUAAUUUAAAGUCUAACCUGCCCAAUGAAAAUUUAAAUGGCCGCGGUAUUUUGACCGUGCAAAGGUAGCAUAAUCAUUAGUUUUUUAAUUGAAAGCUGGUAUGAAUGGUUGGACGAGAAAAUUACUGUCUCAAUUUAAUUUAAUUAGAAUUUUAUUUUUAAGUUAAAAAGCUUAAAUUUAUUUAAAAGACGAGAAGACCCUAUAGAGUUUAAUAUUAAAAUUAAUAUAUAUAUUUAUAAUUAUUAAAAUUAAUUUUUAUAUUUUAUUGGGGUGAUAAAUAAAUUUAAUAAACUUUAUUUUUUUAUUAACAUAAAUUUAUGAUUUAAUGAUCCAUUAUUAAUGAUUAUAAGAUUAAAUUACCUUAGGGAUAACAGCGUUAUCUUUUUAGAGAGUUCAAAUCGAAAAAAAGGAUUGCGACCUCGAUGUUGGAUUAAAAUUAAUUUUUGGUGUAGAAGCUAAAAAUAUUGAGUCUGUUCGACUUUUAAAAUUUUACAUGAUCUGAGUUUAAACCGGCGUGAGCCAGGUUGGUUUCUAUCUUUAAAAAUUUAAAAUAUUUUAGUACGAAAGGACCAAAUAUUUAUAAAAUUUAUUAAUAUUUGAAUAU